AACGAACGCUGGCGGCAGGCUUAACACAUGCAAGUCGAGCGCCCCGCAAGGGGAGCGGCAGACUGGUGAGUAACGCGUGGGAACGUACCCUUAUCUUCGGGAUAGCUCCGGGAUACUGGAAUUAAUACCGAACUUGCCCUUUUGGGGGAAGGUUUAUCGGAUAAGGAUCGGCCCGCGCUGGAUUUGCUAGGGGGUGGGGUGAAGGCGUGCCAAGGCGGCGAUCCAUAGCUGGUCUGGGAGGAUGAGCAUCCACAUUGGGGAUGAGACACGGACCAAACCCCGACGCGAAGGAGGAGUGGGGAAUAUUGGGCGAGGGAGGCAAGCCUGACAAAGCCAUGCCGGGUGAGUGAUGAAGGCCUUAGGAUUGUACAGCUCUUUCACCGGAGAAGAUAAUGACGGUAACCGGAGAAGAAGCCCCGGCUAACUACGUG
rnacentral:rRNA from 1 species